rnacentral:rRNA from 1 species
AGAGUUUGAUCAUGGCUCAGGAUGAACGCUAGCGGGAGGCCUAAUACAUGCAAGUCGAGCGUCCCGCAAGGGAAGCGGCGCACGGGUGAGUAACACGUACGCAAUCUACCUUAUGCUGGGGGAUAGCCUUGGGAAACUGGGAGUAAUCCGCCAUAGGAUUGGAAGGUGGCAUCACCUUUUAAUUAAAGUGAUAGCGGCAUAAGAUGAGCGUGCGUCUGAUUAGGUAGUUGGUAGGGUAACGGCUUACCAAGCCAUCGAUCAGUAAGGGGCGUGAGAGCGUGGCCCCUCACACGGGUACUGAGACACGGACCCGACUCCUACGGGAGGCAGCAGUAAGGAAUAUUGGACAAUGGGCGCAAGCCUGAUCCAGCCAUCCCGCGUGCCGGAUGAAGGCCCUCUGGGUCGUAAACGGCUUUAGACUGGGAAGAAACCACUUGAUGCGUCAGGUGUUGACGGUACCAGUAGAAUAAGCACCGGCUAACUCCGUGCCAGCCGCCGCGGUAAUAC